rnacentral:rRNA from 1 species
UACGUAGGUGGCGAGCGUUGUCCGGAAUUACUGGGUGUAAAGGGCGCGUAGGCGGGAAUGCAAGUCAGAUGUGAAAUCUCAAGGCUUAACCUUGAAACUGCAUCUGAAACUGUGUUUCUUGAGUGUCGGAGAGGAAAGCGGAAUUCCCCGUGUAGCGGUGAAAUGCGUAGAUAUGGGGAGGAACACCGGUGGCGAAGGCGGCUUUCUGGACGAUAACUGACGCUCAUGCACGAAAGCGUGGGGAGCAAACAGG